rnacentral:rRNA from 1 species
CCUACGGGAGGCAGCAGUCGAGAAUCUUGGUCAAUGCACGAAAGUGUGAACCAGCGACGCCGCGUGAAGGAUGAAGGCCCUCUGGGUCGUAAACUUCUUUUACGGGAGAAGAAUCAAUGACGGUAUCCCGUGAAUAAGCCACGGCUAACUACGUGCCAGCAGCCGCGGUAAUACGUAGGUGGCAAGCGUUGUCCGGAUUUACUGGGCGUAAAGCGAACGCAGGCGGACCUUUAAGCAGGAAGUGAAAGGUUGGAGCUCAACUCUAACACUGCUCCCUAUACUGGAGGUCUUGAGUGCCGGAGAGGAAGACGGAACAAGUUGUGUAGCGGUGAAAUGCGUUGAUAUAACUUGGAACACCAAUGGCGAAAGCAGUCUUCUGGACGGAUACUGACGCUCAGGUUCGAAAGCCAAGGUAGCAAACAGGAUUAGAUACCCUGGUAGUCUUGGCCUUAAACGAUGUUCACUAGGUGUUGGGGGUAACCCUCGGUGCCGCAGCUACGCAUAGUAGACGCGUCGGACGUACGCGCGAGUAGACGUACGAAGAAGUAGCGCGNGAGAAGUGCGAGACGACGACGAGGGAGAGG